rnacentral:rRNA from 1 species
AAAAAAGUUGGUGGUGAAAUCCCAGAGCUUAACUCUGGAACUGCCAUCAAAACUUUUUAGCUAGAGUAUGAUAGAGGAAAGUAGAAUUUCUAGUGUAGAGGUGAAAUUCGUAGAUAUUAGAAAGAAUACCAAUUGCGAAGGCAGCUCUCUGGAUCAUUACUGACACUGAGGAACGAAAGCAUGGGUAGCGAAGAGGAUUAGAUACCCUCGUAGUCCAUGCCGUAAACGAUGUGUGUUAGACGUUGGAAAUUUAUUUUCAGUGUCGCAGCGAAAGCAAUAAACACACCGCCUGGGGAGUACGACCGCAAGGUUAAAACUCAAAUGAAUUGACGGGGACCCGCACAAGUAGUGGAGCAUGUGGUUUAAUUCGAAGAUACGCGCAGAACCUUACCAACACUUGACAUGUUCGUUGCGACUCUAAGAGAUUAGAGUUUCGGUUCGGCCGGACGAAACACAGGUGCUGCAUGGCUGUCGUCAGCUCGUGUCGUGAGAUGUUGGGUUAAGUCCCGCAACGAGCGCAACCCUUACUUUUAGUUGCCAUCAUUUAGUUGGGCACUCUGAAAGAACUGCCAGUGAUAAGCUGGAGGAAGGUGGGGAUGACGUCAAGUCCUCAUGGCCCUUACGUGUUGGGCUACACACGUGCUACAAUGGCAUUUACAAUAGGAAGCAAGGCGGCGACGUCAAGCAAAUCCUAAAAGAAUGCCUCAGUUCGGAUUGCACUCUGCAACUCGAGUGCAUGAAGCUGGAAUUACUAGUAAUCGUGGAUCAGCGUGCCACGGUGAAUGCGUUCCCGGGUCUUGUACACACCGCCCGUCACACCAUGGGAGUUGGUUCUACCUUAAGGCAAAGCUUAAAA